rnacentral:rRNA from 1 species
UACAGAGGUCUCAACCGUUGUUCGGAUUCAUUGGGCGUAAGGGGUGCGUAGGCGGCGCGGUAAGUCGGGUGUGAAAUCUCGGGGCUUAACUCCGAAACUGCAUUCGAUACUGCCGUGCUUGAGGACUGGAGAGGAGACUGGAAUUUACGGUGUAGCGGUGAAAUGCGUAGAUAUCAAGUGGAACACCAGUGGCGAAGGCGAGUCCCUGGACAUUUCCUGACACUGAGGCACGAAAGCUAGGGGAGCAAACAGG